CUGACUCAAAGAAGAGGAGACGGGCGCACAAUCCCAAGAUAGCGGAAGCGGUGCGCCGUCUUCACAACUCCGAGACGAAUUACAGGCGCCACGAACCGGAGCAAGGACCAAUCUCGCCUUAUAAUGAGGCGGUGACCUCGUAUUUGCUCCGGGAAAAGUCCAGAUUUAGAGGUCAUUGUGUGUAAGUGACACUGUUUACUGUUUCUCCUUCCUUGUUAAAUGUUACUGUGACUUGCGUUUGAUUUUUUUUUUGUAUUCAUACCACACUCAUUUAAUUGUUUUCCAGCCGCCUGUGAGACGUAUUUUGAGACGGGACGCAGGAGCUUCAGGUUCAGCCGGAACACUCAUUGCGGGCGGAAGCUGCGAAGGAUUCAGCGCGGAGUCGAGCGAGAAGAAAGAGGCUGCUGGAAUCGAGACAAAGUGUGCUGGCUGAUGACGAGGUGGAACUCUGGGAAUCCGCCACCGUAGAGCUCACGUCAGACGGAGAGGAUGCCGUUGUUGGCGGGGUCUCGGGGUGGAUUGUACGGUCGCCGCCAUUUCUGAGUGCAGUCCCGGUUAGAGGCGACUCAGGAAAAACAGAGCCACACACACUAGGCGCCUGCACAACAGACCUGCCUCGAAAAACACGGCGCCAGUGACAGUCUACAACCCCGAGCAAACGGACAGUGUUUUUUAAACCGCCUUUAAGUGUGGGCAGAUCCUCAUUUUGUAUAUAGUUGUUGUUUGUGUGUUGUUAAUAAAGAUCUUUCUUUGCAUAAACAUGUGUCAAAUGUUCAUUUUCUCUAUAAAUUCAUUGAUGUCCUGGUUGGUAUCCUAAUAACAGUGUAGUAGCCUACAUAGGAUAACCAUGAAAUGAAUAUACAGCAU
ensembl:lncRNA